AGGACGGCGCCGAAGUUGUUUCGCAUGCGUCCGAGCCGCCGGACGAAAAGAAAAAGAAAAACGCAUUGUGCGCGAAGGCGGUCAAAGGGAAGGAGUCAGUCAGCCUCCCGUCGCAAUGUCCACGGCGCGUUUGAUGGGGCGCGGGAAUGCAGGGUCGGUGGUUCCCAAGAAGUAGCGGAAAGAGGGGAAGAAUGCAGGUCUCCAGCGAAGAGCUUGGUGGGGUCCGGAGGCGAAGCGAAGGGUUUCCGCGAUUGUUGUAGUCCCCCUCCGACAAGAAAGGCCCACAGGGAGCGACCGCCACGCGUACGUCUGAAAAAUGAGUGACAGCCGUAAGCUUUUGGGAUAUUGUCGCUAGCGGACUUGUUUGUUUCAUAUUGAAUUUUGUUUUCUUUGUUUAUUUUGGUUUUUGAAUGUUUUUCCUUUGGU
rnacentral:lncRNA from 1 species